rnacentral:rRNA from 1 species
CCAUGCCGUAAACGAUGAUUACUAGGUGUGGGCGUGAAAACGUCCGUGCCGUCGCAAACGCAAUAAGUAAUCCACCUGGGGAGUACGGCCGCAAGGCUGAAACUCAAAGGAAUUGACGGGGGCCCGCACAAGCAGUGGAGUAUGUGGUUUAAUUCGAAGCAACGCGAAGAACCUUACCGGGUCUUGACAUCGUGCGCAUAGUGUAGAGAUACAUGAAGUAGUCCUUAGGGACUACGCAUAGACAGGUGGUGCAUGGUUGU